UAAAUUUGAGGCCAAUUUAUCCACUAGGCGAGCUAGAUUCCUGUGCAUAUAUUUACACAGAUGAGUGCUGACUUCCUAUGGGAAGUUACUUUAUGUUUGCGUAUAUUUUGUCAAUUUCUGUAACAGGAUUUUGUUGUUAAUUUUAGACUUUAGAAGAAAAGAUUGGUGGUGUUAAAGAACAUUCUGGACCAAUCAAUGCAUUAACAUUUAAUCCUUAGUUAUUUUAAUAAGUAACAAUCUCAAAAUAAUCUCUCGGUCCAACUACCAUUUUAAUAAAAAAAAGAUCAAAUGAAUCAACCUAGCUAGUUGUAUAUACUGUUUUGUUUGUUAAAC
rnacentral:lncRNA from 1 species